UCUUUCAAGAAAUUUUAACAAUCAAACAGCAGCACAAAUAAAUAAAAUAUAAAGAAAUAAGAGGAAGAAAUUCAUUUUGGUAACUUUUCACUAUCUUCUCAUCUUAACUUCAACUUUCAAACCAUUAAACUUGGUUUUGCAGGAACAAUAUUGAUGUCUUUAUCUCUACAACAAACUACAAAGAAGGACAGGGGUAAGUAAAUAAUAAAAGUUUUAAUUUGAAUACUGAUUUUCUUUACCUUACUUUCCUUUUCAAAGGGUUCAUUAUGUUAAAAAAGAAAUUUUUAUUUGAAAAAAUAACUGGAAAAAUAUACUUGAUUAAAUUUGAGAAAUUGAAAAAACAAAUUUUUAUGAUUUUUUUCCUUGAACUUCAUUACAACCAAAUAAGUUCGUCUAACGGCAACAACAAAGCGGGUAUGUAAAUGAACCUCAUUUUUCUUCAUUCAUUCUUGGAACUCAGGUAUGUAGAUGAAACUCAGGUAUGAAAAUCAAACUCAGUUUCGUUAUCUUCCAUUUUUUUUUAACUUGAUUCUUUUUCAUUCUUUGUUAAAAUCUUUGUUCUAUGUUCUCUCAACUCAUGAAAAUAUUCUCUACUUUUAUUAUUCUAAAAAAAAGUCAUGUUUUACACAAUAAAACUAAAAACAAUUUGAUUUUAAACAUUCUUUAAGUAGACUAAAAAAUUUGUCUCAUUUAUGAAAGAUAAAAUCC
rnacentral:lncRNA from 1 species